rnacentral:rRNA from 1 species
UACGGGGGGGGCAAGCGUUGCUCGGAAUUACUGGGCGUAAAGGGCUUGUAGGUGGCCAACUAAGUCAGACGUGAAAUCCCUCGGCUUAACCGGGGAACUGCGUCUGAGACUGGAUGGCUUGAGUGUGGGAGAGGGAUGCGGAAUUCCAGGUGUAGCGGUGAAAUGCGUAGAUAUCUGGAGGAACACCGGUGGCGAAGGCGGCAUCCUGGACCAUAACUGACACUGAUAAGCGAAAGCCAGGGGAGCAAACGGG